rnacentral:rRNA from 1 species
CCCAGACUCCUACGGGAGGCAGCAGUGGGGGAUAUUGCACAAUGGGGGGAACCCUGAUGCAGCGACGCCGCGUGGGUGAAGGAGCGUUUCGGCGCGUAAAGCCCUAUCGGCAGGGAAGAAGGAGGACGGUACCUGACUAAGAAGCCCCGGCUAACUACGUGCCAGCAGCCGCGGUAAUACGUAGGGGGCAAGCGUUAUCCGGAUUUACUGGGUGUAAAGGGGGCGCAGACGGCAGCGCAAGCCAGGAGUGAAAGCCCGGGGCCCAACCCCGGGACUGCUCUUGGAACUGCGCGGCUGGAGUGCAGGAGGGGCAGGCGGAAUUCCUGGUGUAGCGGUGAAAUGCGUAGAUAUCAGGAGGAACACCGGCGGCGAAGGCGGCCUGCUGGACCGUAACUGACGUUGAGGCUCGAAAGCGUGGGGAGCAAACAGGAUUAGAUACCCUGGUA